CAGCCCUGGGGCGAGCACGCCCCCAACACCGACGCCCGGUGGCCGUCCGCCCCGCUGCAGAGGACGCCCCUGUGCCACUGCCCCAGGGACAGGACCGUCGGACGAGGCUGCUGCCGGCAACCCAGCAUCGCCAGGAGAGGUUCCUCUUUGGCUUGGCGGUCCAGGAAACAAACUGGCCCCGGAUCAUUCGCAAAUGGGCGAGGCCUGGCACUGGGGCUGGGGAACAAGGCUCAGCGCAGGGAUGAGGCGUCUGGAAAUCCACCAUUCGCUGUGUUUGGCAUCCAAUGGCCACCAAGCUCGGUGAAAACCAAAACAAAGAAGUCAUUAAGCACCUCUGCCACUUCCACAUUGCUCAGUGAAGAGGGAAAAACAAUUACAGACAAUGAGACUACCCUGUCCUUGCUCUUCCUCUUGCUUCUAAUCCAUUUGCAGAAUGGUUUCUUGUUACUCUUUACGUCUCUAGCUAGACUGAGCUCGUUUUGUGUCUUUGCUUUGCUGAUUUUGCCCCUGCUUACUUGUGUGAUUUGCUUAUAUUCAUCCUUUGUCCUUUGACCUAGUUUCCACUUUUGGUAGGACUCCUUUUGAUUUUUACCGCAUUCGAGGCUCUGAUUCGUGUUGCAGUCCGGGGUCAGACACAAUCCUGUUGAUUUUUCAAAGUAUGUACAAAGUCCUCUUUGGCUGAAGGCUGGAGGAGUCAAACAGCAGGAGAUGGUUCUUUGCCUCUUUCCAGCCUGCAUUUUGCCCUAACACUUGCUCUCCGCUGUUCCUCAGAGCCAUGCUAAAAGUCCUUCUCUGGCUCACUGUGGGCACGUGUCUCCCACACAGACACCCAGAAGCAAUCCAAUCGAUCCUACAUUUCUGUUAUCAG